GACGAAGGAUGCAAGCGUUAUCCGGAUUCAUUGGGUUUAAAGGGAGCGUAGGUGGCCUUAUAAGUCAGUGGUGAAAUCUCUCGGCUUAACCGGAGAAAUUGCCAUUUGAUACUGUAGGGCUUGAGUAUAGUUGCCGUUGGCGGAAUAUGACAUGUAAGUGGUGAAAUACAUAGAGAUGUCAUAGAACACCGAUUGCGAAGGCAGCUAACGAAACUAUAACUGACACUGAGGCUCGAAAGUGCGGGGAGUCAAACAGG
rnacentral:rRNA from 1 species